rnacentral:rRNA from 1 species
UACGGGGGAGCAAGCGUUGUUCGGAUUUACUGGGCGUAAAGGGUGCGUAGGCGGCGCGGUAAGUCGGGUGUGAAAUCUUGGAGCUUAACUCCGAAACUGCAUUCGAUACUGCCGUGCUUGAGGACUGGAGAGGAGACUGGAAUUUACGGUGUAGCGGUGAAAUGCGUAGAUAUCGUAAGGAAGACCAGUGGCGAAGGCGGGUCUCUGGACAGUUCCUGACGCUGAGGCACGAAGGCCAGGGAGCAAACGGG